AAUCUUCCACAAUGGACGAAAGUCUGAUGGAGCAACGCCGCGUGAGCGAAGAAGGUUNNNGGAUCNUCAAGCUCUGUUGCGCGNGAANAACAAGUACGGGAGUAACUGCUCGUACCUUGACGGUACCUCAUUAGAAAGCCACGGCUAACUACGUUCCAGCAGCCGCGGUAAUACGUAGGUGGCAAGCGUUGUCCGGAAUUAUUGGGCGUAAAGCACGCGCAGGAGGCCUUUUAAGUCUGAUGUGAAAGCCCACGGCUCCACCGUGGAAGGUCAUUGGAAACUGGAAGGCUUGAGUACAGAAGAGGAAAGCGGAAUUCCACGUGUAGCGGUGAAAUGCGUAGAGAUGUGGAGGAACACCAGUGGCGAAGGCGGCUUUCUGGUCUGUAACUGACGCUGAGGCGCGAAAGCGUGGGGAGCAAGCA
rnacentral:rRNA from 1 species